GUUGGACUUGAGGAAGUUUGUCAAUCUUACAUACACAACUCUUUCAAGGAACUUGGAUGCAAAAAGCAGUAGCAAGAUAAGCUAGUAGUUGGACGGGGAGUUAGGGUCAAGGUUGGACUUCUUUAGAAUCGGGGUUAUAGUUGCAUGUUUGAAGGGCGAAAUAUGCCAGAGGAGAGAGAGAUUUUAGUGAGAGGUAGAGAAAGAGAAGAAGACAGAGUACGGAUGAGAUGUGAGGGAAUUGGAUCUAGGGAGCAGGUGGUGGGGUGGGAGGACUGGAGCAGAGCAGAAACUUCAGCUUCGUAUUG